ACCUCACGCACAUCGCUGCUGCGUGGGACCCACGAGUCAUCCCUCACCUCCGCUAAAAUCGCAACCGCGCCGCCAUACCCGCCUCCUCCGCAUGCAUAAGGAGUCCGUUCCCUGAUUCUCACCUCUUGAGUCCACGCUCGGCCGCAAUACUGCGCUGGCACUCGGUUCCAUCCGCCACGCCCGUGCCCUAGUGAACUCGUCCAGUGAGCUCGCCAUUGGAGGAAGGAGCCGCCGCUGGGGACGUUGCGUCUGCGCGUCAGGAGUCAUGCGUCGACGGGUGCCAGGGUCAAGGUGGGGUGCUCUGCACGUAGUGGUGCUCUCCCUGGGCAAGAUCGGUGUUCGGUGGCGUCCGAAUUGCUUGCCGGUGUUUCCUUAGCCCCGCUGCUCUACCCCUCGCCGCGAUUGAGGCCUUCCUCUGCACGACGGCUGACGAGCAAGCCACAGAGGA
rnacentral:lncRNA from 7 species